GCGCUCGUAGCUCAACUGGACAGAGCGUUGGCCUCCGGAGCCAAAGGCUGCGAGUUCGACCCUCGCCGAGCGCG
rnacentral:tRNA from 1 species